AGGCUUUGAAAUCGGAAAAGACAGAGCGCGAGCAGCCGUCCGAGGAGCUAAUGCAGCAAAAGCUGGUUUCUUAGAAAGAUGGCGUUUGCCAUCAAGGUCACAUGGCCACUUUAGGGGACUAAACGAGAUACUAGUGAGAAUGAUAGGAACAGCCACCUAGGAUUCAGAUUUUCAGAAGCAGUUUCGAAUCCAAUUUUUUUUUUGUCAGUUAAAUUCAUAAGCACAUGGAAACAUAAGUCCUAAAAACCAUCAAAACGACAUUUGAAGGAGGUGGAUUUUCACUGGGGCGCUUCUCUCUCAGGGAGCUGGAAAGAGUGAGGGAUCCCAGGAGUCAAGAGGACUGCAGAACCAGAAGGCAGCUGGGUGCCAGGCCAGAAGGCAACGUGGGAGACCCCAGAGCGACUCUACCCUACUGGAAGGAAGCUGGCCUCCUCCUAUAGAUGCUGGGCGGCGCUCCGGAGCUCGCAACUUAGGAAGGAAGCUGCUAUCUUCCAUCUCGGACACCAGGUGGCACCAAAUCACAAGCAUAACGCCAAAGAAAACUGGCAGGAAAUGGACCUUGAGAGUCCUUGAACUAUUUUUCUCCCUCCCUAUUCCCCACAUGGAAUUGAAAAAUAAGAAACCUUUCAGAUAUGGUGGAUAAUUCUAAUUCAGUAAAAACACUUUAAUCUUCCAGCGGAAGGUUCCUAGGAUUUAAAUGCAGCCUUAGUCCCCACCCUUCCCGGAGACCUAGUUCUCAGCAGCAGAUAAGGAAAAUGGUGACUUUCCUGGAAUCAUUUCAGAUGCCUCCACCCUCCAGAAGAGUUGUUUUUCUCCCAGGUGGUAAGCUGAGAAGUAGCAGACACCAGACUUCAGAGGCUCUACUCAAAUCCUGGGCCCCCUUCUGAAGGGCCAAGUGCUCUGUCAUGUGUGUGCUAGGAAAUGACCAUGUCUAAACAAGUUGUAAUGUGGCCAACCAGCCUCAUGGCCUCUUGCAUCCAAACAGGACCACUUCCAGCCCCCACAAAUACACUCCA
ensembl:lncRNA